rnacentral:tRNA from 1 species
UAUAUUUUAGUGUAUGAUGCACAGUAAACUUUGAAUUUAACGGAAAUAGUUUGAUUCUAUUAAAUGUAA